CUGUCAUUCAGCUCUCAGUAUACGGUCUAUGGUAAUGCAUAGUGUAACACCUACAAAUGGUCCCAUUGUCAGCUGCAUCCGUGCUGGAGAAGAGGUAAGUGCUGAAUUAAUAGCUCAUGAUACAAUGAAAUAUAUGGUUUAUCCUAUAAGGAUCUAUUUAUUGAUUAAGGAGAUAUUAGAACUUUAAUUAACCUGUCAUGACAAGUUUGCAUUACGCAAAAUUCUACAUACGGAUUGUAAUGGUUCCAAAACACUUUCCUACUAUAUACCUAUCACAAAAUGACAAUAUCCUUCAUACUUUAACUGCCAAGUUAAUGGUAAGAAUUAAACAUUUUCUCAUUAAAACCAAACUACACUCUUGGGAUAUCGAAAUGAAGACCAGAAACACUGCUUUGUAUAAGUGCAACACACUUUAU